GUCUUCGAGUCGUUGAUUUCACACUGCCGAGAAAAGCCUCUAGAUAGAAAAUAGGUGCCCGUACCGCAAACCGACACAGGUAGUCAAGAUGAGAAUUCUAAGGUGAGCGAGCGAACUCUCGUUAAGGAACUCGGCAAAAUGACCCCGUAACUUCGGGAGAAGGGGUGCUCUUUAGGGUUAACGCCCAGAAGAGCCGCAGUGAAUAGGCCCAAGCGACUGUUUAUCAAAAACACAGGUCUCUGCUAAACCGUAAGGUGAUGUAUAGGGGCUGACGCCUGCCCGGUGCUGGCAGGUUAAGAGGAGUGGUUAGCUUCUGCGAAGCUACGAAUCGAAGCCCCAGUAAACGGCGGCCGUAACUAUAACGGUCCUAAGGUAGCGAAAUUCCUUGUCGGGUAAGUUCCGACCCGCACGAAAGGCGUAACGAUUUGGGCACUGUCUCAACGAGAGACUCGGUGAAAUCAUAGUACCUGUGAAGAUGCAGGUUACCC
rnacentral:rRNA from 1 species